rnacentral:rRNA from 1 species
UACGAAGGGGGCUAGCGUUGCUCGGAAUUACUGGGCGUAAAGCGCACGUAGGCGGUCUUUUAAGUCGGGGGUGAAAUCCUGGAGCUCAACUCCAGAACUGCCUUCGAUACUGGAAGACUCGAGUCCGGGAGAGGUGAGCGGAACUGCGAGUGUAGAGGUGAAAUUCGUAGAUAUUCGCAAGAACACCAGUGGCGAAGGCGGCUCACUGGCCCGGUACUGACGCUGAGGUGCGAAAGCGUGGGGAGCAAACAGG